rnacentral:misc_RNA from 1 species
GAUGAAGAACGUAGCGAAAUGCGAUACUUGGUGUGAAUUGCAGAAUCCCGUGAACCAUCGAGUUUUUGAACGCAAGUUGCGCCCGAAGCCAUUCGGCCGAGGGCACGUCUGCCUGGGUGUCACGCAUCGUUGCCCCCCCAAACUCCGGUUCGGGCGGGGCGGAAGUUGGCCUCCCGUUCGUGCCUGCGCGCGCGGUUAGCCCAAAAGCGAGUCCUCGGCGACGAGCGCCACGACAAUCGGUGGUUUUUUUACCCUCGUUCCUCGUCGUGCGUGUCCCGUCGCCCGAACGCGCUCUUGUGACCCUCACGCGUCGCCUCGGCGGCGCUCCCAACGCGACCCCAGGUCAGGCGGGACUACCCGCUGAGUUUAAGCAUAUCAAUAAGCGGAGGA